GUGCCAGCCGCCGCGGUAAUACGUAGGGGGCGAGCGUUGUCCGGAUUUACUGGGCGUAAAGGGUGAGUAGGCGGUUAUAUAUGUCAGGUGUAAAAAGCUAUGGCUUAACCAUAGUAAGCACUUGAAACUGUAUGACUUGAGUGCAGGAGAGGUAAGCGGAAUUCCUAGUGUAGCGGUGAAAUGCGUAGAUAUUAGGAGGAACACCGGUGGCGAAGGCGGCUUACUGGACUGUAACUGACGCUGAGUCACGAAAGCGUGGGUAGCAAACAGGAUUAGAUACCCUGGUAGUCCACGCUGUAAACGAUGAGUGCUAGGUGUUGGGUAGCGAUAUUCAGUGCCGGAGUAAACACAAUAAGCACUCCGCCUGGGGAGUACGGUCGCAAGACUGAAACUCAAAGAAAUUGACGG
rnacentral:rRNA from 1 species